CCAGGUGAUCACACUUUUAGUCAAAAGAAGCAUAAGAGAGACUAAAAGGGUAAAUGAACAUGGAAGUCUGUUUCCUACAGAGCCAGAUAACUGCUCCGUGUACGCGAAGCUUACGAAUGGGCCUGUUAUGGACCGAAUGCUCAUGUCCCCUCCCCAAAUGCCUAGGUUGAAACCCCACUCUUCAAUGUGAUGGUUUAUGGAAAUAGACCCUUUGGGAGGUAAUUAAACGUGGUCAUGAAGGUAGAACUCUCAUGAAUAGGAUUAUUGCCUAGGAGAUCACUAAAGAGCUUGCUUCCUCUCCCUGCUUUCUACCAUGUGAAGGUGUGAGAGGUAGGCAGGAUUCAGCCCAGGAGAGGGCUAUCACCAGAGCCUGACCAUGCUGACCCCCUGAUCAUGGACUUCCAGCCUUUGGAUGUGCAAGAAAUUUCUGUUGCUUAUAAACCACCCCACUUACGGUACUUGGUUAUAGCAGACCAGGUGGAAGGACGGUGCCCGAGAGGGACAAGAUCUUCCCUUCGUGCUCUAUGCAAACGUACAUAUAGGUCUUUGCAUUGCUUGCCUGGCGACUUCAGCUCCUUGGAGCACAUUCAAACACCAGAAAGGAGCCCAGAGAGAGAGCUAUCCAGUGAAAAAGGACAUUAAAACAUCCUUUUUGAUUUCAAGUUAUAUAGUGAAGUCUGAAAACACAGCUUCCAAAAUUAGCAUUGCCAUCUUAAUGAAUUCAUUUGACAGGAGAAAUCAGGCUACACAGAGCGACAUGUUCCACCAGGGGUUGGACAAAAGUCUCUUGGCAUUUUACCAUCCCCCUCCCCCCAACACAUAUGCUGUGCUUCGAAUGUCUAGGGAAGUUCCGUGGACGCGUUAGAGAAGCUCAAGAGAAAACUAUCUGCUAUUCAGCUCCUGCUAACUUGAAAACACUACACAGGCGCACGGUUUCGUGGUCUAUCAACUGAAUUAACACACAUGUAUUGGCGCUGGGCUUACUUGUGAAAAUGGGAAAGUUCCUUCGAGUGAGGAGGUUUGAAUAACAGCCUAAAUCCAGGUAAGAGCUCUUUUUUGCUCUUCCUUGUCCACUUCACCCACCAAUCACAGGCUUCUGAGUGAACUCCACCACCUGUGUUCCCUUAGGCCAGUUAGCGCAGCUGCUGCCAUUCUGCUCAGGGUCACCUUUCAGCCUCCCCCUCCCCCAUUAUCAAGGCACCCUCACUCCUCUGUCGUCGCAGUGUCCCCUACCCCCACUACCGGUAGCCUGAGAAUGCCUCUGAGGUUUGAUCUUGUUGUUUCCUUUGGAACCUGCUCAUCUGUUUCUCCAAUAUGCUUGAGCGAGUGUGGGUUUGUGUGCAUUAGACAAGCCAGC
rnacentral:lncRNA from 12 species